CCAUUUUGUGUUCUGCUUCAUCCCCAUAUUUUCUAAUUUGGAACGGGUUACAAGCUAAAAGGAAUUCGAUUUCAAGUUCACGCUCCAAAUUGGGAUAUCGAUAUCAGAAUAAUCUGCCUCCCUGAUUUCUCUCUUUCUCUCUCUCUCUCUUGGCAGCUUUCACGCGGUAGUUUUUUUCAACCAUUUUCCCUCCCUGGGGGAUUUAUCGGUCAAACUACGCAACUCUUGAUACCCCUUUUUCCCAUUUUCAUCGACCGGGGGUAUUAGGGUUCUCCUUCUCGUUGGAUCUGAUCACAUCAUAUGGGAGAAGGAUUACCCUAAUAGAUUCCUCCUUUCGACUCAAAGGCUGUAAAUCCAGGGGAACAGGUUGGGUUGGUGCUCCGGAUUUCAAGGUUUUUGCGUUUCUUGAUUGGUGCCGAUUCUUGGGAUUUCUUGAGAGAUUUAGAAAUUUUUGGGUUUUGUUAAGUUGUUCAGAUUCCUGCAUUUUAUUCAGCUUAACAGCCCAAGGGAGAAAGCAGCAAAGAAGAUCAUUGGGUGAUUGAUAUAUCAAGGGAUUUUGCAUGUUGUUGUUGUUCACGAACUAAGUAGUGGUGAUGAAAUGAAAGGUGUAUUGUACGGUUCGGUCACUACUUAAUUCAGGUAGAAAUGGGUGUGAGGGAAGUAAUUAUAAGCCUAGUCAUAUUAUUGUUUGCUAUGAUAGCAACUGCUGCUUCAGAAGAGGAUGUUGAUACAGGAAGAAGAUCCUCCUCCUCCGAGAAGCAAUUCUAUUCAGAUUCAGGCCAGAUUAAUAACAUGGAUACGGCAAAACCAAUAUUGGUUAGUUGUAAGCUUGAGCUAAUAAACUCAGGUGGUGAAAACUUUGAACGACCAAGGCCUAGCAUAUUUCACCAUCAUCAUAAUGUGGAUGGCCUGCCUCGAGACGACGGAAAGCAAAGGUUUCUAGAAUGUUUAAGAAGGAACAACAUUCCAGUCCUCUCUUCAGGUGAAGAUGAGAGUUGGCCUAAGCAUUGGUAUAUUGGAUUUGUUGAAUUUGUUGGGCCUCAAUCUAAUCAUCGUCGAUUCCUUCAAAAUCUAAUACCUAUACUUACACCAUCACCAUCACCAUCUCCAUCUCCAUCUCUAUCCCCAUCCCCAUCUCCAAGUAUAGAUCAUGAGCUGGCUCCUAGCCCGUCUUCUUCAGGCUCUGAGCUUCCAGUUUCUCCACCCUCACCCAGAUCACGACGAAGCCCUCCGUUUUUCCCACCUAAUUUCAGUAGUCCAGACAUACAGCCAUCGGUUGGAGCUGACUCUUCUCCUACAUCUGCACCAAAUAAGCCUGAUGGUGGAAAUCGAGCAGUUGUCAUUGCUGUUGUUGUCACGGCAACUGUCACAUUUGCUGUUGUUGGGAUGAUUUUUCUUUGUUAUACCAGAAUUUGUAUGACGGGCUCUGCUGGUCCUUUGAAUGAUGACAGGCCUCUUCUCAGCUUAAGCAUGAGUGACUAUUCAGCUGCUAGUUCUCCAUAUAAACCGUUUAAUGUAGGGAACUCAGUUAGUGAUGGGAAGAACAAUAAUCCUUCAUUUAAUAACGGAAACUACAACAAUAUUGCUGCUUCAAAUACAUCAGUUAUUCAGCCUUUAGAAGUUCUUACAGCCGAUGUUCCUCCUAAAACAACGACAAUAACAGUGGAAAAUUCAAACGUAGUGUCGUCUUCAUCUUCUAAUCUCAAUCCCCCUCCUGGAAUGCCGCCUCUAAAGCCGCCACCUGGCAGGGUUGUGGCUGCUGCUGCAGCAGCACCUCCUCCACCCCUUCCUCCUACUACACCGCCAAAACCUCCUUUGGGAAGCCGUCCCCCUCCUCCAGGACCGCCGCCACCUCCUCCUCCUAAAACUGGCCCUAGACCUCCUGCUCCACCACCACCUAGAACUGGACCUGUUCCACCUCGGCCACCAGCCAUGGGGUUGAAGCCACCUAGGCCUUCAACUGGUGCAGCAAAUCAAGCAAAUGCUUAUACUGGAGGAGGAGAGGUUGAAGGUGAUCCUUCCAAUCCCAAAACUAAAUUGAAGCCUUUCUUCUGGGAUAAGGUUCUUGCUAAUCCCGACCAGUCAAUGGUUUGGCAUCAAAUUAAAGCUGGCUCAUUCCAGUUUAAUGAAGAUAUGAUAGAAAGCCUGUUUGGGUAUGCGGCACCUGGGAAUAACAAAAAUGAUUUGAAGAAAGGCUCUUCUUCCGAGGACCCUUCCACACAGAAUGUUUACAUUAUUGAAUCAAAGAAGUCCCAAAAUUUAUCUAUUCUUCUGCGAGCAUGGAACGUAACAACUGAAGAAAUUCAUGAUGCACUUGUACAAGGAAACGAACUUCCCUCUGAGCUUCUUGAAACAUUGUUGAAAAUGGGGCCGACUGCAGAGGAAGAAUUGAAGCUCAGGCUUUACAGUGGGGAUCUUUCCCUUCUAGGCUCGGCAGACCGCUUUCUUAAAGCACUAGUAGAAAUCCCAUUUGUGUUUAAGAGGGUGGAGUCCUUACUUUUUAUGUGCACUCUGCAUGAUGAAACCGCAAUGAUUAAGGAAUCCUUUACUGUACUGGAGGCGGCUUGCUCUGAACUUAGGAAGAACCGGUUAUUUCUGAAACUGCUGGAAGCAGUUCUGAAGACAGGCAAUCGCAUGAAUGAUGGGACGUUCAGAGGUGGGGCACAAGCAUUCAAGCUUGACACACUAUUGAAAUUGUCGGAUGUAAAAGGAACAGAUGGGAAAACUACACUCCUUCACUUUGUUGUCCAGGAAAUAAUAAGGUCGGAGGGUAUAAAGGCCGCCGCCGCUAGAGAGAGACAGAGUGUCAAGUCUGAUGAUGACAUUAUUAUUAUUACCAACAAAGACACAAAUCAUGAAACCGACGAGUACUAUCGAAUUCUUGGGCUUGAGGUUGUUGCAAGCUUAGGAAGUGACCUAGAGAAUGUUAGAAAAGCUGCUGCAUUGGAUGCAGAUGGCUUAAUGAGUUCGGUUUCUAGAUUGGGGAGCCAACUUGUGAAAGCACAUGAGUUCUUGAACAAUGAUAUGAAGAGUGUAGAAGAGGAUGGUGACAAGGGAUUCCUCGAAGCCCUAAAGAGUUUUGUUCAGAAUGCAGAAGUGGACAUCACGUCAUUGCUGGAAGACGAGAAGAGGAUAAUGGGGUUAGUGAAGAGUACUGUGGAUUACUUCCAUGGUAGUGCAGGAAAGUCUGAAGGAUUGAGAUUGUUUAUUAUAGUAAGAGAUUUCCUGAUAAUAUUGGAUAAGGUAUGCAAAGAGGUAAAAGAUGCUGCUGCCGCCGCCCCGAGAAAGCAGCCAAAUAGAAAUCCAGGGAAAGAAGACAAAGCCACAACAUCUUCAGAAGCAGCCCGCCAGCAACCAGAUCCAACAACUCUUCAACAACGGCUUCAUCCUGUAAUUGCUGCCAGGCAGAGGAUGGACACUUCAAGUUCUAGUUCAGAUGAUGAGACAUAGUACUUAAAAAAACAUGUUCUUUCUUUUAACCAGCCAGACAGCAGGUAUAGGAGGAAAAUGAAAGGUGGCCUGAUAGGGAGGGAGGGAGCAAGCAAGCAAGCAAGCGCUCUCGAGGGUGGGUGGGUUUAGAGGUUUGGAUAUAACAGAUUAUUGAUUGUACUAGUACACAAUUUAGCCUUCAAUGUGGUGCAUUGGACCAAGGAUUGCAUGAAUUACAGGAAGGUUUUCUGUAUUAGGGAUUGGAGAAGAAUGUUGACAUGGAUAGAGUAUCAUUUGUUUGAUCGAAUUCAUAAUCAAUCUUGUUGUUCUUUCAUUU